rnacentral:tRNA from 2 species
AAGAUGCUAGUAAAAUGAUUAUUACAUCGCCUUGUCAAGACAAAAUUGUAGGUUUAAAUCCUGCGCAUCUUA